ACUCAAAUGAAUAGACGGGGGCCCGCACAAGCGGUGGAGCAUAUGGCUUAAUUCGAUGCAACGCGAAGAACCUUACCAGGACUUGACAUGCACCUGCAAGCGCCCGAAACGGCGUCGCCCUCGAGGGUGGUGCACAGGUGGUGCAUGGCUGUCGUCAGCUCGUGUUGUGAAAUGUUGGGUUAAGUCCCGCAACGAGCGCAACCCUCAUGAUCUGUUGCCAGCGAGUAAAGUCGGGAACUCGGAUCAAACUGCCUCUGUAAAGAGGAGGAAGGUGGGGAUGACGUCAAGUCAUCAUGCCCCUUACGUCCUGGGCUGCACAUAUGCUACAAUGGCCGGUACAAAGAGUUGCUAGGGCGCGAGCUCAUGCUAAUCUCAAAAAGCCGGUCUCAGUUCGGAUUGGAGUCUGCAACUCGACUCCAUGAAGUCGGAAUCGCUAGUAAACGCCGGUCAGCAAUACGGCGUUGAAUACGUUCCCGGGCCUUGCACACACCGCCCGU
rnacentral:rRNA from 1 species